GGGAGUGGGGUGGGACUGCAUUUGUGUGCACACACCCACACGCAUAAGAAAAGUCAAUCUGUAAAAAGAGGAGUUUGUCCCUCGUUCCUUCCUUUUCCAUCUUCCUCCUUCAUUUUUUUCUUGACUAGAGAAUUUCUGGGCUUCUCUGCGCUCAUCUGAGGAGUGUCAGGAUGUCCACGGGUCCUCACUCUUCACCCUAAGCAUCACUGGUACCCAAGGACUGGCAGGAAUCAGGAGGAGAAAGGCUCCUCUGAGCUCUGAAUGGGAAGGCCCAUCUGCCUGUUACCCGCACUACUCCUAACAGGACAAGAUGCCUUCCUCUGUUGGUGUUCCAGGGAAGACAACUUUUAGGAAGAUUGUGGACCAACACCAAAGCCCUAUUCACACCGAGUGAAGAAAGUAUAAGAUCAGUGCUGCUGCUUUACAGAAGUUUCCGAGUUGCCAUCACUGUCACCAAUGCCAACAAGCACAGCAAGACUGAACGACGAACAAUACAACCUAGGUUGGGGCUCGGCUUGAGCAGGAGGCAGGGAAUUGCCAGGGCUGGGGAGAAGGCAGGCUCAGUGGAAGAGCAGCUCCUGGCUGGGAGCUGCACCUUGCACGUGGGGCCCCAGAGUGGUCCUGGAGUAUAGAGCACAGCAGCCAGCCUGUGGGGACCUGUGCUCCCCCAAGGCAUCCACAGUCACUGAGCAAACCCUAGUGCCCACCACGGUCUUGGGUGCUGUGGAAAACAGGAAGCAGCAGAAAUGCAGUGCUGACUUAAUGAAGUACAAACCAGGACCUAAGGGAUAUGUGGACUCGGGGCAAACUUAGCCACUGUGCAAACUAACUCAGGCCUCGUCUCUUGGCCGUGUGUGUGUGUGUGUGUGUGUGUGUGUGUGUGUGUGUGGUGUGUGUGUGUGGUGUGUGUAGGUCUCACUCUACUAGGAAGCUAACCCUAUAGUUUUGCAUUUUGUAAUCCCCCAAACACACCUACUGCCUCAAGUCUUGUGUGGACAGUCAAGGAGAAUGUUUGACACUGGAACUGCCCUGAAAAACCUGCACCAUGUGUCCCCUGCUCUGUAGUAGCAGGGGUGUGAAGCUCUGCUGGCACUGAAUGCAUCUCCCAGAAGUGAAUCUGAAAUCCAGAAAGAAGGACCAUAGGGAGAGGAGACGCCAGUUUGAGAAACAGCAUGGUGAGAUGAACGAACAUGCAGCUGCCACCUGAAACAGGUUUUCUUAAUUCUUACAAACAUUUAUUUAUUUUGUGCGUGCGCGCGUGUGUGUGUGUGUGUGUGUGUGUGUGUGUGUGUGUGUGUGCUGUGUAUGUACAUGUGUGUAAACAUGUGCAUGCCGUGGCACAUGUAUAAGGAACAUUUGCAGGAGCUGGUUCUCUGUUCACUUGUUUUGUCCCUGAGAUGAAACUCAGGUCAUCGGGCCUGGUGGCAAGUGCUGAGCCACCUGCUGAGCCACCUCACCAGCCCAAGCCUGACUUCUGUGACUUGGUUCUCUUUUAAAACGGGGAAUAUGAGCAAUGCUCCCAGAUGAAAACACCUGCACUCUGCUGCUUGUUUGAUGACAGCUGCUGAAGAUGGAGUGGGAGGGUCAACCUCAAGCACGGUUCUCUCACACGCAGGAAUGCAGGGGAAGCAAGGCUUCCGUCCGGUCAGGACUCGUUUGGUGCAUCCUUGGCACACACUUGCCUUAGUAAGGGAUCAACUGGAACAGCAAGGAAACUCCAGCAUCUUUUUAAGGCUCAGUAACGGGGCUGGUUAUCAGAAACUAUCCCAGUACAAACGAUUUUGGCGCUGUUGUUUUCAGAAAUGACCGCAAUGGCGGACGGUACUGUAUCUUCUCCCACGCUUUAUCCUAAAACAACUGGACAAAUGAAAGCACUCCCAACCCCUGCUGUCUCUCUGCUGACCAGCAGAGGGAGAAGGCACUAUUCAAGGGGGCCUUGUGUCUUCUGCAGGGUGGCCAUGCCUCCGCAGCACAGUCUGGGUUUUGGGGUCUGUCCUGGUGUAGAGACCAGCAGUGACCUCUUUCAUUCGGGCCCACCACACUAAGCACAUGCAGGCCACUCGAAGAUGAGACACGAGUCUAGAAUGCUCCUCACCUCUACUCCCGCUCGUAAGACUUCCAUCUUCCCGUGGAACCAAUGCUCACACACCCUCUCCUCACUCUGACCUUGAUAGUCGAGCCAGCUGGUAAAUACCGGCUUCAAAGGCGACCACACAUGCUACCUUUCUGUACUUUCCCCGACUCUCCGAGGGCAGAGCUGCUGCACUGCCAGCUGUGUUUCCGUAAGAGCCUCCCACUUAACCAAACACGAUGAAGGCUUCUAGACCCUGGCUCCCUCUGGAGGUCAAGGACUAGGGGGAGUUUGUGAACUCAGCGUCCAGCACACUGCUUGGUACACACAGAUGUUCCCCAGAUGCUAGGAGCAUCAUCAGAGAGUGACGUUAAGCUUACAAAAGUUUUUAGUGGCACGGAGGUAGUUAAGGAACCAGAGGUGGCUAACCCCCGUUCACUUCUGAGAACUGUAUGCAGAUAGUUGUGCAAGGAACCAGAGGUGACUAGCCCCUGUUCCCGUCCGGGAAUUGUAUGCAGCUGCUUGGGCGCUGUCAGCCUCAAAGGCCUUCGAAAGAGUGACUGGAGAUGUGUGGGUCGUUACCCAGCAAUCCAGCUGAGCUGCAUCCAUGGGCCAUGGGCUGCUACUCACUCUAGAGCCCAAGGGAACGGGUUCUCUCUCCAGCUUCUGUGUAAUCUCGUGCCUCUCACAGCGAGCUCAGGCUAAGGAGCAUUUCUUCAGAGAACUGGAGAAUAGGGGAGGGGCCAUGAUAGGGACAUUAGGUGGGGGCAGAAAGGAAGAGAAGGGCCUGUUGUGUAUCUGUUCAAGAGACUGAGUUAAACUUAUCAGGAACUUGCCCUGUGCCCCUGCCCCACGCUGACUCGUGGCACUGGCCAGCAAUGGCUGGGUCUCUUCAGAGGACUCCUGCUGUAUGUUCCUAAAAGUCUGGGAUAGUUCUGAAAGUCCAGGUGACCAGCAUCAGACUCUGUGGCACAGAAGGUUCUCAUGUAAAGAGAUUGAUGUCACUCAUGACUAGAAACUCAACUCAAUGCAAAGAAGAUCACUACCUCAAAGGCCUGUUCUCAAGACAGAGCUGUGAGGCUGCCAGCCUUGUCUUCAACAGAAAAUCUGGUGUGCUGUCUCCACAGCUAAAAUCUCUAACACCAAAGACUCCCUUCUUAUCUGGGACAGCUUCCAACUACUGGGCCCAGUUACUGUGUGGAGACAGAAGACAGCCAUUUCCACAGUCAUUGAGCAGUAAGGGCUGGAGGGAGGUCCAAGGUCUGUGAGGAAUGGCUCACUUGUGGGUGUUGGACCACCCUGAGAAGACAGCACCCCCCGCCCCCCUCAGGAAGCUUGCUUAUUGAGGCAUGGAAGGGUCUUCUUACAUACAGUGCAUUUUUCUUUAGGGUCUCAUCUGUCUCAUCUUACACAAAAUCCGAGUGUAGGAUACUGAAUGUUUGUGCUGAUCUCCAGGGCUCAGAGAAGAACCCGGCUCUCUCUAGACUCGGAGCAGCCCUGCCUGUGGGCAGGGAGCACAGCUCAGACUCCUAGGUAUGGAGCCCUCCUGCGUGCUGUGCAGCAGGUACUGUGAACUAGGACGAGUGUGUGGGAUUCAAUUUUAGAAUUCUGGAAGUGUCAUUUUGAGAGAGUAACCUGGUCGACUAAGCUCUAAAAAGACUCCCCUAACAAUUAAAAGCAAUAGACUGAAGGAGCCAUAUGGGAUGAAUAAAUUAUUAAACUACUAGGAAGUUGCUAUAAAUAUGCAUGCAAUUCAAUAAUUCAUAAUGGACGAGCGCAAGAAAGCUCUGCUGGCUUUAGCAGCAGCUAGCAUCCCAGGGCAUGUGCCAUGGCCUCUCGACAGACAAGCCUGGGUGCAGGCGCGGGAGGAGCCUUCUGCCUUCUGGAGAGAAGCCCUUAGCACUCGUGCCAUGCCUGUGAGGAGCACUGGAGACCCGAGAGCCUUUUCCUGAACUGAGGGACAGAGCACGCCCCUCAAGCACGCAGGACGGGAGAAGGUACAGGGAGCUCUCAGCUCCCUGCCUCAGUUUCCACUGCAGCUCCCAUCUCUUCAACCAGGAACCACCAGGGCUUCCAGAACUCUGUUUCUCAAGGAGGCAGGCCGUGCGUAUGUGCUGCAGUGCGCAUGUGGAGGUCAGAGGACAACCUUUGGGAAAUGGUUCUCUUUCCACAUUACUGAGGCAAGCUAUCUGUUGUGUGGGCUGCUCUGGGAUACUCCUGGGUAGCUAGUGCACGAGCUCUUGGGUGGGUCUCCCGUCUCUACCUCCCAUCUUGCUAUCAUAGAUGCCUCUGCACUCAGGUUUUGGGGGAGGCGAGUUCGUGAGGCUUGCACGCAAGGACCUUUAAAACGCCCCACUUUUACCCUCAUACAUGUGUGUACAGAACACAGCAUUAUCCUGAGGAGGGUAAGUAAGGACUCACCUCUGUGGUACCGGCGUGAGCACGCGCACUUCAGCCUGGACAUGUGAGGAUCACACAGAUUUCCAAUCUGCACGGCUCCUCUGCCUGCCCCAGUGUUGCUGGCCUUUCUGCUCCUUGAAUCCUGGGCCUUUCCCUUGUACUGCACGGACACUUAUGGCAGUCCCACCCAAGGAUCUGCACAGGGCAACACUGGCUUCUCAUUUAAACACACCUGCCACUCCAAGGGGAUGGUGCAACCACCAGCCUUGGCUUGCUCCUUUCUGCACUGACACUGCUGAGUACAAACACUCUGGCUUGUGGCUUUACAGUCUUUCCCUGAUGCCUGUGCAUGUCUGCCCACAGUUCCUCGGCUGUCAAGUGUAUGCACGCCAGGAAUGCGCAGCACUGACUUCAUCCCGUGCAGCGGAGGCAGAUCUAGCCUGUGGCCAUAGGACUCUGUGUAUCUGUUGACCUCAGAAUGGUGGCUCAAGAUCUCUUUGGUCUUUUGGUGUGAUUGCUGGGACCCCUGGUCACCAAAGCUUUAGGAACUCUGCUUCCUUAUGUGUCUCUUGCAGAGAGACAACAGACAGACUGACAGAGUUUUUUGUUUUUUUUUUUGUUUUCUUUUUUUUUUUUUUAAAGCUGCCUACUGUUACAUAAGCAGUGAUGGGAGAUUCAGGAUCCAAACUCUCAGGUUGUCACCAGAGCCUGGACUUCUAGCCAUAGAUGAUGCUCUUCAAAAUUCAAGGCCUCAAACGCAGCACAGUUUCUGUUAAGCUACAUGAAACACCCCAAGGCUAGCUGCUGAAGGAUUGGUCCCCAGUUGACAGUGCUAUUCUUGGAGGUUCUGGAAACCCAUGAGAAGUGGAGGCUGGCUCGAGAAGGUCACUGGGGAAAGCCCUGGGGCUGGCCCUUGCUCCUGCCCUCCCUCUCUGCCUCUUGCCAACAUGUUCUUACAGCCAUGAUGCUCUCUCUGUCUCAUCUUGGAUUCAGACCCGGCGAGCUGAGGACUAUGGAUUGAAACCGUGAGCCAAAAUAAAUAACUCCGCCCUUUAGCUUGUUCCCUUUGGCACUUGUCACAGUAAUGGAAAGAGUGACAGCUACACUGGAGGGCUGUGAGGAGGGUGGGUCUGUGACAAUAGAACAGCUGUGACCGCUACAACAGGUCCCCAGACCCUGUAACCAGACACACCAUGGCACAGAAGGUGUGCUCCUAACAGGUGCGUGGGCUUUCCGACAGACUAUAGCUUAGCUCUUUCACAAUUGGAAGUUUAUGUUUGCUGGGGGAAGGGCUACAGACGACAGGAGGAAGAUGGCAGGAGAACAUUAAAAACCCUUAAGAAGACUAGACUUUGGAAGGGAAUUAGAAAUAUCCUAUAAUAAAGAUCUGUAAAGUAA